rnacentral:rRNA from 1 species
UACGUAGGCAGCAAGCGUUGUUCGGAAUUACUGGGCGUAAAGAGUGUGUAGGCGGUGCUCUAAGUCUGUUGUGAAAUCUCCCGGCUUAACCGGGAGGGUGCGGCGGAAACUGGAGUGCUUGAGUAUGGAAGAGGGUCGCGGAAUUCCCGGUGUAGAGGUGAAAUUCGUAGAUAUCGGGAGGAACACCAGUGGCGAAGGCGGCGACCUGGGCCAAUACUGACGCUGAGGUGCGAAAGCGUGGGGAGCAAACAGGG